AUGGCGGAGGUGCAGCAACUCUGAGUGCAGGAGGCUGUGGACGCCAUGGUGAAAAGUGUGGAGAUAGAGAACAUCCGGAAGAUGCAGGGCCUCAUGUUCCGGUGCAGCGCCAACUGCUGUGAAGACACCCAAGCAUCUAUGCAGCAGGUGCACCAAUGCAUCAAGAGCUGCCAUGUGCCUCUGGCUCAAGCCCAGGCUCUGGUCACCAGCGAGCUGGAAAGGUUCCAGGACCGCCUGGCCCGCUGCACCAUGCAUUGCAAUGACAAAGCCAAAGACUCAAUGGAUGCAGGAACUAAGGAGCUUCAGGUGAAGCGACAGCUAGACAGAUGUGUGGCCAAGUGUGUGGAUGACCAUAUGCACCUCAUCCCAACAAUGACCAAGAAGAUAAAGGAGUCUCUGUCAUCUAUCGGGAAAUAAAAUUGUUUGCCAGUGACCAUCGGGACUGUGAGCAGGCUCUUUAAAAGGAAGAAUGGAAGUUUAAUAUGUUAAGCAAUGUUUACGAAUGAGGAAAACUUAGACACAGCAAGUUCCAGGCAAAUGCUGCUCACUGCUGGACACUAGUCCCUUUACAUCCGGAUCUUAGAUGGCAAACUAGGAAGAAGCUGGUGCUAAGAUUUGGAUCACAGAUAGCUCAGAGGAGAGGUCUAGAUCCUAAAUAUUCAUAUGCAAAUGUCUGUUCUGUAGUAGAGAUCAACCUUGUACCAAGAGCUGAGUUUCUUACUACAAACAUCCAGGCUGGCAGCUCUCUUCAACCUACUGGUAAAAUCUGAGGAGCGGUGCAUCUCCUCUGAGAAGCUUGACAAAUCCUGUUGACCAGAAGUAUCACCACAGCACCUUGCAUAUGCUGGGAAACAAAACCCAGUAGGCUAGGAAUUCAGAGGAAAGGAUUUCCUUUUCAAAUCUAUAUUUUGCUGAGUUUUGUCUUAUAUGCAGGGCACACUGGAUCUAAGAUACAGGAGGCAGAGUGGUUUGAGUCACUUCUAAAGGUUCCUGGUAUUAUGUACUGUCAAGAUGGGAAUGUCCAUUUCUUCAAAUUCUGUUACUCUAGAAGCCCCUGAAGAAGCCAGACAGUGUCACACACUGAACAUGGGAAACAGCCUUCUUCACUGACUUGUGCAGCAAAGUGACACAUCCUUAUGAAAAGCAAGGGGGUUGGCUGUCACUCACAUGCCAGUCGCUGAGAAUAAACAGUAACUAGGAAUUGUUGAGAAGUGUGAACCCAGUAUUAAUCAGCUCUGAAUCUACAGAGNCUUAUANCAACAAGAAAGCCAGAAAAUGAGCAACUUGGGCCACAGAGAGCUAGGACCACUGUAGAACAAGAGAGGCACACACUUUCUUGCCAAAUGCCAUUUUUGCCUGGGUGUUUUUUAUUUUUUAUUUUCUUUGCAGUGCAGUGUUGCUGGCCCAACAUAGCGCCUUAUCUUUUGGAUAAGUACUAUGUUGUAUUUAUACCAAUUAAUUACUUGAAACAGUGAUAUAUCUGUCUUUUUGCUGUGUCAAGCCUGCAAUAUAUUUUACAAGUGGUUUGGUUUUUAAAUAAAGUUUCAUUG